rnacentral:rRNA from 1 species
AAUCAACGCUGGCGGCGUGCCUAACACAUGCAAGUCGAACGCGAAAGCCCCGCAAGGGGUAAGUAGAGUGGCAAACGGGUGAGUAACACGUGGGUGACCUGCCUUCGAGUGGGGGAUAACGUCCCGAAAGGGACGCUAAUACCGCAUGACAUCCUGCUUUUGAAAAAGCGGAGAUCAAAGCUGGGGAUCGCAAGACCUAGCGCUUGAAGAGGGGCCCGCGCCUGAUUAGCUAGUUGGUGAGGUAACGGCUCACCAAGGCGACGAUCAGUAUCCGGCCUGAGAGGGCGGACGGACACGCUGGGACGGAGACACGGCCCAGACUCCUACGGGAGGCAGCAGUGGGGAAUUGUUCGCAAUGGGCGCAAGCCUGACGACGCAACGCCGCGUGGAGGACGAAGAUCUUCGGGUCGUAAACGCCUGUCGGGCGGGACGAACGCUUCGCGGAUGAAUAAUCCGCGGAAUUGACGGUACCGCUAAAGGAAGCCCCGGCUAACUCCGUG